rnacentral:rRNA from 1 species
UACGGAGGAUGCGAGCGUUAUCCGGAUUUAUUGGGUUUAAAGGGUGCGUAGGCGGACUGUCAAGUCAGCGGUAAAAUUGAGAGGCUCAACCUCUUCCCGCCGUUGAAACUGGUGGUCUUGAGUGGAUGAGAAGUACGCGGAAUGCGUGGUGUAGCGGUGAAAUACAUAGAUAUCACGCAGAACUCCGAUUGCGAAGGCAGCGUACCGGCAUCCAACUGACGCUGAGGCACGAAAGCGUGGGGAUCAAACAGG